rnacentral:rRNA from 1 species
UGGCGAACGGGCUGAGUAACACGUGAGUAACCUGCCUUACACAAGGGGAUAGCCUCUGGAAACGGAGAAUAAUACCCUAUAAAGUCUAAUCAGCCCAUGCUGGAAAGACCAAAGAUUUAUCGGUGUAAGAUGGACUUGCGUCUGAUUAGCUAGUUGGUGAGAUAAAAGCUCACCAAGGCGACGAUCAGUAGCCGGCUUGAGAGAGUGUACGGCCACAUUGGGACUGAGACACGGCCCAAACUCCUACGGGAGGCAGCAGUGGGGAAUUUUGCACAAUGGGGGAAACCCUGAUGCAGCGACGCCGCGUGAUUUAGAAGGCCUUCGGGUUGUAAAAAUCUUUUUUACGGGAUGAAAAUGACAGUACCGUAAGAAUAAGGUCCGGCUAAAUACGUGCCAGCAGCCGCGGUAAUACGUAUGGACCGAGCGUUGUCCGGAAUCAUUGGGCGUAAAGGGUACGUAGGCGGCCUAGUAAGUUAGAAGUUAAAGAAUAUAGCUCAACUAUAUAAAGCUUUUAAAACUGCUAGGCUUGAGAGAUGGAAGGGAAAGUGGAAUUCCUAGUGUAGCGGUGAAAUGCGCAGAUAUUAGGAAGAAUACCGGUGGCGAAGGCGACUUUCUGGUCAUCAUCUGACGCUGAGGUACGAAAGCGUGGGUAGCAAACAGGAUUAGAUACCCUGGUAGUCCACGCUGUAAACGAUGAGUGUUAGGUUCUUGGAAUAAUCUGGGAGCCGCAGCUAACGCAUUAAACACUCCGCCUGGGAGUACGCACGCAAGU